rnacentral:rRNA from 1 species
GAUGAACGCUGGCGGCGUGCCUAAUACAUGCAAGACGAGCGAACGGACGAGAAGCUUGCUUCUCUGAUGUUAGCGGCGGACGGGUGAGUAACACGUGGAUAACCUACCCAUAAGACUGUGAUAACUUCGGGAAACCGGUGCUAAUACCGGAUAAUAUUUUGAACCGCAUGGUUCAAUAGUGAUAGACGGUCUUGUCGUCACUUAUAGAUGGAUCCGCGCUGCAUUAGCUAGUUGGUAAGGUAACGGCUUACCAAGGCAACGAUGCAUAGCCGACCUGAGAGGGUGAUCGGCCACACUGGAGCUGAGACACGGUCCAGACUCCUACGUGAGGCAGCAGUAGGGAAUCUUCCGCAAUGGGCGAAAGCCUGACGGAGCAAAGCCGCGUGAGUGAUGAAGGUCUUCGGAUCGUAAAACUCUGUUAUUAGGGAAGAACAUAUGUGUAAGUAACUGUGCACAUCUUUACGGUACCUAAUCAGAAAGCCACGGCUAACUACGUG